GUUGGCUAUAGGUCAGUUGUAGAAUUGUAGCUCUGAGAGAACAUCAUAAAAUAUAUAUUUGUUUUGUGAAUAGUAAAAAAGAUUUAUAAUUUUCUAAACUGAAAAACGAAACGAAACAAACAAAAUGGAUUACUUAUAUUUCGCAAAUCCCCCGGAAGGCGAAUUCGAGGGCUUUCACGGCUUUAUAGAAAUGACUGUUAUGAAGCUAUGCAUGGAACUCGACAAUAUGAUGAAUUCGCAGGAGACACAUUAUGAUCCGAUGCCAGUGUUUGGAUUGAUCUCAUAUGCCCUGGCUCUUUUUGGUAUCUUUACAUUUUUCACAAUGAGUGUGCAAAAGUACAAAACUUUAUUUUGUAAAAUUGCUGGUAACAAAGAACGAAAACCUGUAUGGGUAGAUGAAGAGGAGGAGGUCGAGCCACCACAAUUGAAGGAGGAUGUCAAGCAACCAGAAGUGGAUGAGGAUACCCCGCCGAAUCCUUUGUCGGAGGAUAAGAAUUUUUCAUUUGACAUAGAAUUUCCUGGUACACCAGGACAUCCAGAAAAUAUGCUAUUUCGAAAGCAAGGCAAUGGGGAACGAUUAGAAAGUUUUGUGAAUGCUACUGAUGCUGAACAUAGCCUAGUAGUUACCUAUCGCAAUGAAAUGGAUCCAGAUCCAAGUCAAAUACUUUUAUAAAUAACUGCAGAUCAUGAGUCGAUCAAAGUAUAUCAACCGACUCAACACUAUGAAAAUCCGUCGUCAUGAAAAAAUGUAGGACCAAUUUUUGAGAUGUAUCGUUAGAUUUGGGAUAUCCAUUAUUAGCGAGAAGUCUUUCCCAAAUUGUUAGUGUCAUUAUUUUUUGAUCUCGAAUUGUAUAAAUAUAUCAAUGUAACAAUG
rnacentral:lncRNA from 1 species